rnacentral:rRNA from 1 species
UACGUAGGGUGCGAGCGUUGUCCGGAAUUAUUGGGCGUAAAGGGCUCGUAGGCGGUCUGUCGCGUCGAAAGUGAAAACUCAGGGCUUAACCCUGAGCCUGCUUCCGAUACGGGCAGACUAGAGGUAUGCAGGGGAGAACGGAAUUCCUGGUGUAGCGGUGGAAUGCGCAGAUAUCAGGAGGAACACCGGUGGCGAAGGCGGUUCUCUGGGCAUUACCUGACGCUGAGGAGCGAAAGUGUGGGGAGCAAACAGG